rnacentral:rRNA from 1 species
AUUGAACGCUGGCGGCAUGCCUUACACAUGCAAGUCGAACGGCAGCGGGGGAGAAGCUUGCUUUUCCUGCCGGCGAGUGGCGAACGGGUGAGUAAUACAUCGGAACGUGCCCUGUAGUGGGGGAUAACUAGUCGAAAGAUUAGCUAAUACCGCAUACGACCUGAGGGUGAAAGUGGGGGACCGCAAGGCCUCAUGCUAUAGGAGCGGCCGAUGUCUGAUUAGCUAGUUGGUGGGGUAAAGGCCUACCAAGGCGACGAUCAGUAGCUGGUCUGAGAGGACGAGCGGCCACACUGGGACUGGGACAGCGCCCAGACUCCUACGGGAGGCAGCAGUGGGGAAUUUCGGACAAUGGGCGAAAGCCUGAUCCAGCAAUGCCGCGUGUGUGAAGAAGGCCUUCGGGUUGUAAAGCACUUUUGUCCGGAAAGAAAUGGCUCUGGUUAAUACCUGGGGUCGAUGACGGUACCGGAAGAAUAAGGACCGGCUAACUCUGUGCCAGCAGCCGCCGUAACAC